UUUCAGUUGUGAUUUUGACUAGCUUUUUAGCUGGUAUUAUAUGCACAUCAGUUUUCGUUGCAAUAGUUAUAUGGAUAAGAUAUAACAGAAAUAAAAAAAAUAAAACGGUAACCCACACCAAUCGAAUGCCUCGAACAUCUCUGUAUGCAACAAUAGAAAAUUUAAACGAACGCAAAAGCUCGGAGACAAACAGCUGUAUCACCCACUUUGCAGAAAUUGCAGUAAUAGAAGAAAGAUGCAUGGAUGUUGUUCCUGGAAAUAAAAAUGAUGUGACAAAUACUGGAAGAUUCCAAAUUUCAGAAUGUGAAACUGAGACAGUACAGGUUUCUUUGGCUGUGAAUAAAAAAUGUUUUGAUUUAAACCAUUCCGGAUCCCUGCAACAAGAUGAUAAUGAGGUCAACCCAUAUCGUGAUAACCCAAACUACGAUAUCUUAUAUAGACCCCGAUCACCUCUGUAUGAAAAGCAUUGUAAUAUUUAUAAUACACAUUUAUAAAGCUUCUUAAAAUGAAACAUGUUCCAACAUACUAAUACACAAUUUAAAUGAAGAAAAAUAUAAAGAAAUGUUAGGAUGCACAUAAAAAAAAUUCACAAGUGUGUUUGAUGUAUGUUUAAAUGC